rnacentral:rRNA from 1 species
GACGAACGCUGGCGGCGUGCUUAACACAUGCAAGUCGAACGAAGUGGCGCACGGGUGAGUAACGCGUAAUCAACCUGCCCUUCAGCGGGGGACAACAGUUGGAAACGACUGCUAAUACCGCAUACUGAAGGAGGGGAUUGCGUCUGAUUAGCUAGUUGGAGGGGUAACGGCCCACCAAGGCGAUGAUCAGUAGCCGGGUGGAGAGGAUGAACGGCCACAUUGGUACUGAGUCAAGGGCCAGACUCCUACGGGAGGCAGCAGUGGGGAAUCGUCCGCAAUGGAGGAAAGUCUGACGGAGCAACGCCGGGUGAGUGAUGACGGCCUUCGGGGUGUAAAGCGUUUUUAAUCGGGACGCGGUACCGGAAUAGAAAGCCACGGCUAACUACGUGCCAGCCGCCGCGGUAAUUC